AACAUUGUGGACCUGCUCUGUGCUUCUGC
rnacentral:piRNA from 1 species